rfam:Schistosoma curassoni strain Dakar, Senegal genome assembly, scaffold: SCTD_scaffold0000324
AUCCAGUUGACGAGUCUCAGAUGGGACGAAACGCGCGUCCUGGAU